rnacentral:rRNA from 1 species
UCCAACCUGCCGUCUACUCUUGGACAGCCUUCUGAAAGGAAGAUUAAUACAAGAUGGCAUCAUGAGUCCGCAUGUUCACAUGAUUAAAGGUAUUCCGGUAGACGAUGGGGAUGCGUUCCAUUAGAUAGUAGGCGGGGUAACGGCCCACCUAGUCUUCGAUGGAUAGGGGUUCUGAGAGGAAGGUCCCCCACAUUGGAACUGAGACACGGUCCAAACUCCUACGGGAGGCAGCAGUGAGGAAUAUUGGUCAAUGGGCGAGAGCCUGAACCAGCCAAGUAGCGUGAAGGAUGACUGCCCUAUGGGUUGUAAACUUCUUUUAUGAAGGAAUAAAGUCGGGUAUGGAUACCCGUUUGCAUGUACUUUAUGAAUAAGGAUCGGCUAACUCCGUGCCAGCAGCCGCGGUAAUACGGAGGAUCCGAGCGUUAUCCGGAUUUAUUGGGUUUAAAGGGAGCGUAGAUGGAUGUUUAAGUCAGUUGUGAAAGUUUGCGGCUCAACCGUAAAAUUGCAGUUGAUACUGGAUAUCUUGAGUGCAGUUGAGGCAGGCGGAAUUCGUGGUGUAGCGGUGAAAUGCUUAGAUAUCACGAAGAACUCCGAUUGCGAAGGCAGCCUGCUAAGCUGCAACUGACAUUGAGGCUCGAAAGUGUGGGUAUCAAACAGGAUUAGAUACCCUGGUAGUCCACACGGUAAACGAUGAAUACUCGCUGUUUGCGAUAUACUGCAAGCGGCCAAGCGAAAGCGUUAAGUAUUCCACCUGGGGAGUAC